rnacentral:lncRNA from 1 species
AGUAUUCACACUCUACAGGAAGAAACAAAGAAAGAGGAAGGAUACUAUGCUAGGUUAAGACCUGUGGUCGGGAUGCUGGUGAUUGGAGAUAAAAAGAAAAUUAGCAAGAAUUUCUUUUUUGGACAGGGCUAAUUUAAGUCUUCUCCUUAGGAAGGAAAAUGGAUUUGGGAUACUCCUUACAUAAUAAUUAUUAUUUUCAUUCAUCUAGGACUUAACAUUUUAUACCCAUUGUCUUAUCUUCUCCAUGGAUUGCAAACCUUGUGCAAGACCAUGUAGCUAUUCUGCAGGAAAGCUGGGCCACAAACUGAAAUUUCCAGCACGCCAGAUUGAGUCAUUUGAAGACGAGAAAAAACACAGUGUUUCAUGAGGAAAUUCAGCUACUUCUUAAAAGAUCAGCAUCCAUGAUGUUCCUGGAUUUCACAAAGAGGGAGUUGUUUCUUGCACAGAGCAGUUCUGUGAGUCAGUGUGAAAAGAACUACCUGCC